UUUACAUAACCUAAGGGGGUCCAGGAACCGGCCCAAUCUCAAUAUUUAGGGUUUUAUAAAACCCUAACACACCUCUGCCUCCUUUGUUGUCCCUAUAUAAACAACACACAAUUCUUCUCAUUCUCACAAUCACCUUCGUCAUUGCCGCCUCCUUUCUCUUAUCCCUUUAAUUGAUGAAACAUGAACCUGCGCGGUGGCUUAGAUGGUUGAGCAUGGGGCUUUCACAAUGGAGGUGUUUUGGAGAAUGAUUUUGUGAAAUCUAGUCAGUAGUACUUCCCAUCAAUUCUCCUCAUGCCAGGCUGGGUAGUUCCAAAUCACAGAGAUCAACCUGUAUACCUAAAGGAUACAAUUUCACAUUAGAAAAUGUGCGUGUACCUGGCAGGAGGAGAAUUGAUGGAAAGUGCUUCAAACUCAUGAAUGAGUAGUUCCAAAUCACGGAGAUCAGCAUAUAUCACCUAAAGGAUACAAUUUCACAUUAGAAAAUGUGCGUCUAUCUUUCCCUCAAUUAUUCUAUUGCAUAAGAACUAGGUUUAUCCUGUGCGCAUAUCUUUUCUUUCCCUCAAUUAUUCUAUUCUUCACUUGAAGGUUAGUGUUUGCGGGUUAAAAGAAAUAUAGCUUAAUUGAAGUGUUGAAAAA